rnacentral:rRNA from 1 species
GGAUUUGUCAGUUGGCCGGGCUUCACUGUCCGUAUUGACUUGAUGGAUUCUUACCUUAUGUAUAACCAGCAUGCUAUUAAUUUAGUGCGUUGGGGAAGCAGAUCUAUUACCUUGAAAAAAUUAGUGCUUAAAGCGAGCUAGUGCUUGAAUGGAUUAGCAUGGAAUAAUAAAAUAGGACGGCAUGGUUCUAUUUUGUUGGUUUCUAGGAUCACCGUA